CGGGGCAGCAGGCGCGGAGGGAUCCUUGGCCUUUGAGGAAGGCGACGAGAAGCUCGGCGGCCAUCGCCGCCAUUUUGGGCUGGGAGGAGGCAGCGGAGGGACUCGCUGCGCAAUGUUUUACAACUGGAUUACAAAAUAGGAUCAUCAUUGACUAGGGUCCUCAAUCCAAAACUGGAACCACUUACUCCUAACUGAAGCUUCAGUACACUUGAUGCCUACUGUGGUUUGAUUUUUUACCUACAUAUGACAUGUUCGCUCUACACUGAUCAAGAGAUCAUCAAGAAAGAAAACCAAGGCACUAGAAAGCAAGCACACUUAAGUAUUGAAGAUAAUUACAUCUUAAAUUUUGCCUGAACUGUAUAUUGUAGCAUACUUAAACCCAUUCAAGGAAAAAAUUGGCAAAUUGAAAAUUCUCCCAUUAAAGAUUGAUAUUUUUGCAAACUGACAAAUUUAACGAUUUCGGUACCCCUCCCCAAAAAUGCAGUCACAUAAAAUAUAUCAAUACUAUUUUGAAUUAGCUCUAGAAAUCACACUGAAACUAUGUUACAUUUACAAAUAUUAAAUUUAUUAUAACUAAAAUGAAUUUAAUUGUUCUCAGAUUUGGCCACCUUAUAGCUCCGUUUAAGGAGGGGAUUUGUUAAAAACAAAAAUGCAUUAUAACUUGGUCAAAUUACUUUCACAUUAAGGAAAAAAACUUCUAAAAAGGAAAACAAGAAAAGCAACUCUUCAGUUUCACAUAAUUAAAAGAACAGGAGAAAGCACGCAAGCUACAUAUAGCUAAAUUUACGAAACCAA
rnacentral:lncRNA from 1 species